rnacentral:rRNA from 1 species
GACGAACGCUGGCGGCGUGCUUAACACAUGCAAGUCGAACGGAAAGGCCUUUUCGGAGGUACUCGAGUGGCGAACGGGUGAGUAACACGUGGGUGAUCUGCCCUGCACUCUGGGAUAAGCCUGGGAAACUGGGUCUAAUACCGGAUAGGACCGCACUUUAGUGUGUGUGGUGGAAAGGUUUUUCGGUGUAGGAUGAGCCCGCGGCCUAUCAGCUUGUUGGUGGGGUAAUGGCCUACCAAGGCGGCGACGGGUAGCCGGACUGAGAGGUUGGUCGGCCACAUUGGGACUGAGAUACGGCCCAGACUCCUACGGGAGGCAGCAGUGGGGAAUAUUGCACAAUGGGCGCAAGCCUGAUGCAGCGACGCCGCGUGGGGGAUGACGGCCUUCGGGUUGUAAACUCCUUUCGCCAGGGACGAAGCGUUUCGUGACGGUACCUGGAGAAGAAGCACCGGCUAACUACGUG